rnacentral:rRNA from 1 species
CGUGAGAAAUCUGCCCCUGACUCUGGGAUAACUGCGGGAAACUGUAGCUAAUACCGGAUACUUUCCCUGGUGGGCAUCCACCGGGGAAGAAAGAAUUUCGGUCAGGGAGGAUCUCGCGGCCUAUCAGCUAGUUGGUGAGGUAACGGCUCACCAAGGCGACGACGGGUAACCGGCCUGAGAGGGUGACCGGUCACACUGGGACUGAGACACGGCCCAGACUCCUACGGGAGGCAGCAGUGGGGAAUAUUGCACAAUGGGCGCAAGCCUGAUGCAGCAACGCCGCGUGAGGGAUGAAGGCCUUCGGGUUGUAAACCUCUUUUAGCAGGGAAGAAGCGAAAGUGACGGUACCUGCAGAAAAAGCACCGGCUAACUACGUGCCAGCAGCCGCGGUAAUACGUAGGGUGCAAGCGUUGUCCGGAAUUAUUGGGCGUAAAGAGCUCGUAGGCGGUUUGUCACGUCUGCUGUGAAAAUCCAAGGCUCAACCUUGGACUUGCAGUGGGUACGGGCAGGCUAGAGUGCGGUAGGGGAG